AGCAGAACGGACGUGUUGCUCGGCGUUCCUCGCAAGAAUAUUAUAUUGCUUGCAAUCAGCCUCCACGACCAAAAUCGAUUUCUCUCGCGAGUUGUCGAGCGCCAUUGUCCCUUUUUCUUGCACGAAAGAAGCUUUACACCGAUCGACACCGGCUCGACAGAGCCGACAAACAAAGCGCACACAGUUUUACAGAAUGUAAUUCGAAGCGUCAAGGGAGACGAAAACCUGUAAUAACCAGCGGAAGAAAACGUUAUAAGGGUGCAACGUUAUUUACAACCCUUUCUUUCACUGCGAACUGCGGCGUACCGAUACGAGUACGACGAUACUCGCGCCAUCUGUCGUGGCGUUUUUCAUACGCGAUUUUUCGCGGAGAGAAAAGAAGAAAAAAGGGGGAAAGAAAAAGAAAGGAGACAGAAAACGUUUCUCUCUACAAAGGAGCAUCGUUAUUCUCCCUCCCUCCCCCUCCCGUUGUUUUGUUGCCUACGAAUUUUCCCAUCAGGCCCGUACAUUAUGUUUUUUUCCAUUGUGUUUUUGGCUCGACGGGAGUAUCGCGUGCCACAGCGGGAAAAUUUAUCGUUCUGUUCAACCGCGAACCGUUUAAUGCCGGAAAUUUAUCGACGAUGAUGAUCUUGUUUGCACGUCGAUAAAGUUGAUUUUUCGAUUAUACGAUCAACGUAUUUUCCUUUCUUUUUUUUUUUUUAUCGAUGGAUAAUUGAUCGGUCCAUUGAGGGGUUGAAAUGAUGGACAGGGAUGAUGUCGUUGCGUUUUUUUGAAAAAUUAUUCUGUAAACAAUCGUUUAUUUUUCGAAUAAAUUUAAAUGGACACAAAACAUAUUUAUAAAAUUUUACAAAAAACAAUCUAAAUCCCGGUGAAAAUAUUACGAUAUUUCAUUCUAGAACUGUUUAUCGUUGAUAUUAUAAUCCUAUCUAAUUUCCAUUUAAAAUAAUUAUAAACGGUAUAAGUGUUCCAUCGUAGGUAUUUAAUUCGCAUAUUUUGCAAUUUCCUCCAGUGAGUCACGAAGUCGAUCCCCGGGCGCGCAGACGAAAGUUUCAUAACGAUUAACCAGACGGUUAAAGUUGAAACUGCCUCUCGAGAGGCACACGAGUUUAUUAAGUAGAAGUCUGGCUUCAAGGCUAGGAGGAACGACACCGAAGAACGAGAAAUGGAUAUUCGUGAUGUUGGGAACGCGACAGAGGGAUCAAAAGGGUAACAAGAAGCGAUGGGAUAACUGAGCGGAGAAGGCGUGGGAUAGUGAAAAAAAAUGUGGAAAGAACGGGUGACAAUUCCUUGAAAUGUUUAAAAUACUGGAGGAUUUUUUUAGCAUAUUGUUCUAUUAAAAAUAUGGAAAGGAAUUUUGGAAAUAUUUAAAACAUUAGUUUUGUUUAACGAUAAGCGAUAUGCUAUAAAUAGAUUUACGACGAUUUUAUGACGACGAUAAUGAUUUCGUAAUCGAAUGAAAACAGAAUGAUGUCAUGCAAUCAUAAUCUUUACGACCGUUCUUUUAUCUAGUUGAUUCAUAACAUUCUUGGAUGAAUAAUCCAUUAGAGUGUCACCAACGUUUCAAACAAAAGCCAGCAAUACAUCAUACAAGUGCUUUAUUUCAAUGGGUAAAUCCCAUUGCGAGAUUGAAUGCUCGCAAACGAGAAAUUUACAGAAUAUUUCGACAAAUGAAAUAACACAGGGUAUUUAAUCCAACAAUUACAUCGUUAACACAAAGGAAAACGAUUACAUCUUUAUACCGAGGAAAUCUUAUUUCUCAGAGGAUAUAGAUACAUCUAUUAAAUCCCUUCGCAACGAGAUAGAAUAUGCAGAUAUCAUUCUUCCUCUUCCUGUAAUACUGGAAAACAAUUUUCCAAGGUGUAGAUAAGUGAAUGUAUAAAAAACAUUUAGGGAAGAAGAGGGAGUCAUAAAGUUUGUUGAAUGUUAUUUAUUUCCUUUCGAUCGAGCUAGGUAUCAUGGGAUAUACACAAAUAAAUUUUAAAUCAGUAGAGUUGUAACUGAAUCACGUAAGCCAUUAUAAAUUAAUUUAACCAGAACUGUUAACUAUAUAUAAUGUAUCUAUGUCUAUUUCCUGUUAAAAUUAAUUAUAUCUGUUUUUAAAAAUUCAAUUAAGCCAAAAGAAAAUUAUAUUUUUUCUAAAUUCGUCUAAAUUACCGUCAUAAAAAAAUUCCAUUCACUCCCAUGCUCAGAACUUGGAAAAUUAUAUUUCUAAUGAUCACAAUCUUUCAUUAACAAACUGAUUGUUAGAAUCAACCACACUGUCAAUAAUCAUUAUAGGAUCAACAGCGCAAAUUCAGGACAACAAUUCAUAUAUAAACUAGCAUUCAGAUCGACAAUAUGCACACAUGCAAGUAUUCUCAAAUUCUAUUUACUUUUCACAUUCAAACAGUUGCUCAAUAUUAAUUUGGCAAAUAACAUUUGCGAUUAGAAUCGUGUUUCAAUACAAUUAUACAAUGAUUUAUAACAUUGGAAAGAAAACAAUAUGAUUCGAUCGAUAUUAUAUAACAAAUACUAAAACAUUAUCAAGAGAAAGAAGUUCGAUUAAAAUGAACAAGAGGGCACUGCGUAUACAUAAAGGAGUAAAAUCAAAUAUGGCUGCUAGAAAAAUUUGGUAAAACAUUAAUAAAGAUCGAUCUUCAAGUAUAUAUCCGAUUAUGUAUGGCUGAUUUUGAUAAAAUUUAUGCACGAUAUACUUUCCAAUCAAAUAUUUGACAAGUGUUUCUUUUUAAUCCCAAAAUCUAUUUUGAAAGGGUGAAAACAAUUCUCCAAGUUACGAGGUGGAAACAUAUCUCAUGCAAUAUUAAAUUUAAGGAAGUAAUUCAAAUAUAACAAGUAGUUAUUUUAAAAGAAAAAAUAUUCAAAACAGAGAAUUUCUUUUUUAACAAACUCUUAAGGAUGUUUCUUUAUCAAUCUGUUAAAUUUAAUCCAUCUGAAACUACCAUUUUCGUUUAAUUAAAUUCUUUCCAUCAUACUUAUAUUUAAAAAUCUAACAAAUAUUCAUCUCCCAUCAUAUCCACUAUCAUAUUCGCCAAUCAAAUCGAUCGAUUUUUCAAUCUACUCGAAAUUUCUUUCGAUACAGCAACGUUUCGCAAACAAUCGAUCGAAAAAACAAUUUUCACCUGUAAACACGUGAGUGACGAUACAUCGUCACUAACCUAAUUCGCGAGUGUAAAACUCUUUAGGGGGACAGAGGCAGCGUGGUACAUAUUGUGUGUCGCGUUACGCGUUCAUAUGUGUUUGCCUUGUCGAGGAAGCAAUCAGUUCCAUCUACUGGCAACGUUUACAUGGAUCGUUUACAGCCCUCUUGUGUAGCUUUUGGCGUGCCGUAUUCCGAUACUCAUGCAGAUAUCCUACGAACGUUAUGUUAUAUAUACACAUAUGCGUGACUAUCGUUGCGAAUUUCAAGCCGCCGUUUCUACGUUGUUCUGUUUAGUCCAGCCUCAACUUAUCUCGAAGCUAUCGGUUAUGCUCAUGCUUCGCGUAUUGCGUAAUUAAUAGCAAUAUAUAAUCGAUUAUGUAAAAUAAAAAAGAGAAUGUGUUGCAAAUUAUAUAUAUUUAUAUCAAAUGAAAUAUUAAUUCUGAUUUCUUCAGAAUUAUUCAUAUUCAAUUUUUCAAUUAUUCAAUUUUUUUGAAAUAUUAUAACAUUUUAAAAAACGUUAAAGUUUUUCUUAAAGCAUCUUUCUUCUAUUCCUUGGAAUAAAAAUUCGAACGAAAUCACAGGAGGAGGAGAGGGGAUUAAAAUAGAUCGAAUCGAAGAAGAGAAGCGUGAUUAAAGAAGAAAAAUUGAAAGGAAUAAUUUGAUAUAUAUAUUCACUUUAAAACAAUCUUCCUUUUUUCCUCCCCAACGCGCGUCUCCGUGUGAAAAUGCGUUGGCGCGUGUUAAUAUUUAUAACCGUACUGUGAAAUCGGUGCCGCGCGCAAAUAUACAGCUGAUCUUGAAUUCUUUUGGCAAAAGUGCCCCAGGAGAAAUGCAAAUUUCACGUAGCGACCUCGGACACACUCGGCCAGAAUCGUGAACAACUCAAACUGAAACUCAAAUAUAUCUCGAAACAGAAAGCUGUUUUACACAUUGUACGAAACACGAAGCCGCAAGUUGCAGCCACAAUGAAAAUUUUCCUCAUGGAUUUUAUCCAUACGAAAUAGUCCACCAUUUGAUAGAAAAAAGGAAGAGGAAAGUAUAAAUUUGUUAACAAAUUUUUGAAUAAUUUAGAGUAUUCUAUUUCAAAAAGUAUCGCAACGUUAUUUGUAUUACUUACUCAAUAGAAUUUCAUCACAAAAUUGUUUGUUACUUUACCUGAAACAGAAAAAGAAAUUAAAAAUUAAAUAUAUAUUUACAAUAAUUCAUAGUAUCUUAAACUUCUUCACCGAUAAACAAAUAAAAUUCGUUUUUAAUCCAUCUAUUCUCCCCUUAAAACUGCAUAAUCAAUAUCAAACCUUCUAUAAGUGUAAUCCAGAAUUACACUAAAAAGAAUCACACAAUUUCAGCAUCUGUAUUAAAUAAUAUAUCUCAAAAUCGAAAGAGAGCGACACAAAUUUUCCAAUUACAUACAAAUACCGACAUCCAUUUAAUACACCGCGUUACAUUUUCCUCCGAGUUCCGUCAGAAGAGAUUCUAAAGUGUGCUCAAUUACCAUAUCGUUCUGCUCGAUUUACCGUGCAAUUACAACUCGCUCACAAAAUCCUGGUAGCGAUCGUCGAAGCGAGGGGGAGAAAAUCCCAGCGGGAUUUCACAAUGCGCGCAGGAUGCGCUCGAGAAGGAGGAGGAGAAGGAGGAGGAAGAGUCGUCUCGUCUCUCCUCACCGGCUUCGCAUUCAAUUUCCUUCUUUGGCAGGAGUUUACAGAGCCGGCCGCGUUAUGUCGAGCAUAUUAAUAGGCUAGCCCUGUGCACAUGCUAACCACGUAGAGGAAGGACGACGUAGCGCCGCCGCUAAAUACUCUCGUAUACAUGAACGGGCGGCGUCUACGGGUUGGGGGGUCGGCGUCGACCCGCCGCCAACGCUUUGCUGCGCCAUUUAAUUACGCGGUAUAGGAAGGAGCGUAACUCGGGCAAUAAUAACAUUUUUUAAACCGUGGAAUGGAUUAUUUAACGUCUCGCGAGGUGGAUUUAUCGUGUGGCCGGGUGAGAUUUAAUUAUUCUUCUUAUUUCUCUUUCUUUGUAAUUUGCGAAUGUAAUUUAUUUUAUCGAGCAAAUUCUUCUGCGUUAAACUUUUCCUCGGAUAUACGAUUUAUUUGAUAUGCGUGGGGCGACGACGCGUUGAUGAGAGGAGAGUUCGGGCGAGAGUGUUUAUUUGGCGAGGGAAAUAUGAUUUAUUUUUUCGAACGCGAGAUUUUUUUCUUGUUCUUCUUUUCGAGAGAUAUACUUCAUUCUUGAUGAAAGGAUUUUAUGCGAUUAAUAGGUGCGUAGCGAUGGAAGCGUUUUUCUUGGUAAUGUUUUCUCGGUUCUCUUUUUAUAUUCCGUUCGUGCUUCUUCCUUGUUUUGGGAACGAAAUGCUUAUUGAGUUGUUCGAAAAAUUCAAAGACAAUUUAAUAAUGUACGCAUCGUUUGUUUCGGCGGCUUUUAUGUAUUUAUUAGUUUUGUUCUGUUUCCUUUGCGAAUUUUACUUGGAAUUUUUUCGCGAAUUUUUAUGCGUAUUCUUUCCAGUUUAUUAUAAAUUACAAAAUUUUUACAAUAUUACGUUUGACAAACAGAAUUUUCAAAACAUAUAUAGUAGAAAUUAAUAUUAUAAUAAUUAAUAGUUAAAAGUGAAAUUUUAAUUAAAUUUAUUAUUCAUCGAGUAACUCUUUGCGCCGCAACUAUUAUAAGAAAAAUUGCAAAAACUUACGCAAAGAGUGAACGCAGUAAUAAAAACUGUUAACCGCUGAGUAAAAUUUGAAUACAUCGCAAGAGGUACUUCGACGAUGAAAUUCGCUGACUAUGAAUAUGCACGUUUACAGGCAAAGUAUUUUACAAUUAAUAUUUUUGCACCAGUAGAGAAUUCCUAGUUCCUUCAAAAACUGCAUUUUAUUUCCGAGGUGUGCGAGGUAUUUUGCCAAAUUUUCUUACCGCAAAUGUUGUUCCAACAAUUUCUACAUCCUUAUACAUCCUUCUAACAUCACUUCUUCUUAUCCUCAUCUCCAACACUGAUAUCUCUUAAAUCCUAUUACAUCCUGCACGUAUAUUUCUAAAGAGAUAUCUAUCCGAAAAUUAACCCAUUAAUCCGAAUGAAUAAAACCCACAAACGAGAAUUAAAAAAAAUUCCAAAACGGAUAAAGUUGAAAAAAGAACCGACCAUCAUUCAUCCUACCGAUACCUACACGAUCACCCCCGUCAAAUACGAAAAAAAAAAAAAAGUGCCAAAAAUUUCCAACGCCGCGUGGCCAACACUUGGUACACAGAUAUCGAAUAAAAAAAAAGCGUGUGGAAAAAGAAAAAAAGAUUUUCACGAGCGCGUCGAACACGGGGGGCAAACGAUCGACUCCGUCACGCUCCUUCCUUUUAAGCGAACGCGCUUACGAGUCAAUGGGUCAAUCGAGCGAUGAUCGAGCCGGUUGUAACAUCAUCCGCAACGUUGCACGCGUUAGAAACGCGUGGCGGCUUCGGGAUGCGUUGCUGCACCCGGCUGCGGAUGUGCAUUCAUCGCGUGCAUUAUUGCCGCGUGGGUGGGGACACGGGCUAUGAAUAGAGGGCAAGUUUAAGGCUACGAUGGAGCGAGUGUUGACGCGCUACGCUGCCUCGACAGAUUUACGCGCAAAUGCUCCCUUCGCGGUUGAACAGGGUGUGAGAAAGCCCUCGGUUUUCCACGCUUAGGUUCAACCUAAAAAGGCUCGGUAAACUUUUGACACGGGUUCGCUUUUGAAAAAUUAAAAUCGAAAUCGCGCGUAUUUGAUUGAGCAUAUUUCUCUGAAGAUUUUUUAAGUAAUAUCUUAGGUGGAUUGUUCGAUGAUUGAAAUUGAGUUUGAAAUUGUAAGUAGUGGUGUCGAGAGUAAUUUGUUUGAUUUGAGAAAAAAGUUAGAGAGGAGGAAUUGUUGUUCCGUUAAAUUCUCUGAUAAAUUUCUUAAAUUCUUGAAGGGAUGGCAUUUCCAAUUUUGUUAAAAAAUUUAUGAAAAUAUUCGAAGCAAGAAGUUUAAAGAAAGGCACGAGAAAUUGUAUACUUAGUUUAAUGGAAGUGUUAAUCUGUUAAUCGAUAUCUCAUCUCUUUAAAAUUCAGUACUGUCUGAAGACAAGCUUGCUUCGUUUACCUUCCAGUUCAUCCCAUUGAAGUUUCUAUACGUUUUUUUUUCGAACGGAAACAGGUGAUACGAAAAGAUUAGUAGAGCCAGGCACUCGAUCAGGAAGAUGGAUCGAUCAAAUAAAAAAAGCUAUGAAAGAAGCAAGGCUGUUACUUGUAAGCUCGCUUUGAACCAAAUGGUUCAUCCAAAAAACGAUAGCUUUUUAUCAUAGUCUUCUCCGAAUUUUUAUUCCGCACUGAUAAUAAUAUUAUUAAUAAAUAAUUCUUUAUUAUUCUCUUUGGAAGAAUUUUUUCAGAAUUUCUAAGUAAGAAUAUAAUACGGAAUAAAUUAUGAGAAAAUUCUUUGUGAAAAAUAUACAAUUUUUCAAAUCUGAAAGAAGAAUUAAAGUAACGUUGCAAGCAUCUUUAAAACUCACGGAAAGAAAGAUUUGUACGGUGUUAAGGAGAAGCAAUACGAGGAGAGCAAAGAGAUAAGAGUUAGACAGUAAUGUCUCGUGGUAGCAGAAUGUCAGGAACGUGCCAUAGGUUUCGGAGACGCUGAAGCGACGAACUUUGUCCCCACGGUCCAGCUUGUUAAUAGCGAUCCAUCGAGCUUUCCAUGGGGGUUGUUUGAAACUUUAACUAGUUUCUACUUGCUCCGUAGUCGAAGCUGCAACCAUAUGAGAGUAUAUAACGAUAUCUCUUUAUAAAUUGAUAGAUUUAUAUAAAUCCGAUAUAAAUGAUCCGUGUGAUUAUAUUGAGACCAGAGAUAAACGAAUAUUCAUAAAUAAAUAACAAACAUCCAUAAGUAAAUAAAUAAUUAUACGAAUAUGCAUUACAGAUUGCAUAUCAUUAAUUUACGAUGAGAUUAUUUCGAGCUCUAUUUAUUUAUUAUUCGAGGUGAUGAAAAACAUUUGGUUUCUGUAUUUGUUCCACAGAAAAUGUUAAUCUUCGCUCGAAUAAAUAUUCCAUCGAUAUCUUUUUCUAAAAAGAUUUGAUUAAUUAUAAUAUUUGCUGGAGAUUUAACAAUUUUAUUUCAAAAACGAAAUUUACAUAAAUUUUGAAAAAUAUUUAUUUGUCAAUUAACAUAUUAUUGAUUGUAAUUUUUAAUAAUUAAUAAAUUAAUAAUUUGUUUUCGUUGAAAAAUUACAAAAUUGAAUUUUACUAUUUGUAAAAUUAAAAUUGUUGAAAUAACAAGGAAAUUCUGCAUCCCGGAUAAAUAUCAAGGUAUCGCAGAAUUUUUUAUCGUUCAAAAAUUUAGAAGGGAAGAAUUUGAACAUGAACAAGAAAUAACCAUAGAAGAUGAGAAAAUAUAUAUGUACCUGGCUAUGUAUCGAGUUUUACACUAUACUGGCGAGAAUGUACUUGCACCUGAGCCAAUUUGCACAUCAAGAAUUUAUGGCUUCCUUGCUAAUGAAAGGCUCGCUACACAUUUUCUUCUGGAGGAAUCAAAAAAUAAGAAGGAAGGAUGUAAUAAAGGAUUUUACAUUUUAAUCGAACAAUAUGUUUUUUUUCGUUUUUUUUCCAUCGGCCAACAGCUGGGAAUCGGGGCACACGUGCUAGCAACGACGCGAGACUGUUCCACUGGCAGAGUUGGUCGAGGACAAUCACCAGGAUAUACGCGGGAGUCGUCAGCUAGAUGGCGUCACUAACGAGUUCACACAAUUCCCGUAUCACGGCCAUAUAUAUUCCAACAACCGAUCUUUGCCCAAAAAUAACCACGAGGCGAAAUCUAAAAACCGAGGCGAACGAAUCGCGCGUAAACGCGAUCUCAUCAUCGGCAAGCAUUCCCGGAAACAGAUCUGCAAACAUACACCGUUUCAUGUCCGAUCAUAUCUCACAAUUCACCACGUAUGCCCUGACCACCACCGCUACCAUCACCAGCUACAGGCAGUUGCGCAUAAUUGGGAAUCGAUGGGAGCGAAAGCAACCGGUCGUGAAACGAACGAACCGCGAGGAUGAGCGGGCAAAGAGGGUGGGUUGGGUGGAUGACAAUGCAGAAGAGACGAGGAGGGAGAGAGAGGGGGGGAUCGCUUAGAUUUAAGUGACAUGGAGCAUGGCACAAUGGUGCUGAUUGCCGAAAUUAGCUGGCGCAGCCUCUGGCAACGGGCGACGCGGCUCACGAGGCUCGUUGCAGAGAUGGUGGUGGUUAGGAAAGAAGAGAAAGAAGAGAGAGAGCGUGGAAAAGAGAAGGAUCGAUGGGAGAGGAACGGGAGAUGCAGGAGGAGGGAGCGAGACGGACAGAUUUGUAGGACGAAGUUCCGCGUGGUUGGUAUGGAUUACGGAGACAAUUGCGACUUCCUCUCUGCAACGCAGACGUUACGUGUUUGCUGCGAGCAACGUCCCGAGAGUUGUUUAAAAAUCGGCUCGAUUUUUCAAAGUGGCGAGGGGAGGAGAGGAAGCAACGUGACGUGAACGAAGUAAGGGAUAUUAGAUUCUAAAAUUUAAAAGAAUAUACGAAAGAAACGUCAACGUUAUUGAUUAAAAUUAAUCCUUCAUGAGCCUCAUGAAUCUCAACUAACCAGAUACAUUGAAUCAUAUGAUGCGUAAUGAUUAAAUUUUAUCACACGAAAAGAUAUUUUUAUUAUGUUAUUUUGUAAUGCAUCAGAGAGUAUUUAAACACGACAACUUGUCAAAUCCAAAAAUAUAUUCUUUUUAAAAAAUAUAUGGAAUAAAUCCACAUAAAUCACAUUUGUAAAAAAAAAAAAACUAAUGUUACGAAAACCGAUAUUUUUUAAAAGAUAUCAAAAAUAUUAUUCAAUAUCAAAAACCAUAUAAAUAUAAAUAUAUAUAUAUAUACAUAUAUAGGAAGAUAAUACGAGGCUGGCAAUUUUUUAUAUUUUUAUAUCUUCCUCUCUAAAAACUAACAAUAUGACAGAUCACACGAUAUAUUCAUCGUUCCAUCAACUCACCCAUUCUACACAUAAAUAUCGUAGUAAAAAAAUAAUUAAACAUACAUAAUCACGUUUCUAUCUAUUAAAAAAAAUACUAAUUUUAACGAGACGAACUCGUGCAUUUCGAAACCAAUUCGACUUAAAUUAUUCCAUUCGUUCUCCCCGCUCUCUCUCCCUCUCUCUCUUUCUUUUUCUCUCUCGAGAGAAAUUGAAUAGACGCAAGCAAGUUAACUACGAAGCCUCGAAGGUGUCUAGAGCACUACGCGACACUUCCAAAGGAGCGUGAAUCGCAAUGUUUUUAAGGUCCCUGUCUGUCGAGUGGGGGUGCACCUCGUGAACGUGAUGUCACGCCUGUGAAAACUCCUUCGUAAAUUCUUUUACCCCUUUCGAGUCGAGCUUUAUGGCGCAAUCACGUAGCACUGACACAGGCGAGGAGAAGACUAAAGGGCGAAAAAAAGGUGCGGCGAAGGGACACUCCUUUCGGAAGGACCAGACAGAAAUUCCCCGAUGGUAAAUUGAAUUACGAUAAAGUUUUCCUUUCCUUCGAACGUGACUGAUCUAUCGCGAAAUUCGCUUGACGAAUUUUCUGAUUUAGAACGAGGAAUUGUUCACUGGAGGAAUUGCUAUCUUCCUUUCGAUUGCUUGUAUAACAGGAGAGAAUACGUCUAAAAAUAUAUAUAUUUCUGCAUACUUUUUCUUAUAAUUAUAUCGUAUAAUCAAUAAGCUGUGGAAAAGAGAAUGUUAUAUAUUUUUCUCUGUCUGCGGUAUAAAAAUGAAAAGAAAAAGAAAUUCACUUUAAAAAUAUACUUUAUUGACAAUUUAAAGAAAUAUGAAUUUCCGUGUUCUCGAUGGAAGUUUAAAAAUAACACGUACAAGAAAAUGAUAAACGUUUAAUUAAGAAGAAUUCACACAAGGAAAGAAGAUUAAGCAGAAUGAGAAGGGGGGGAAAAAUGGAUAGAGGAUCCUUGAAAGAA